rnacentral:rRNA from 1 species
UACGUAGGGUGCGAGCGUUAAUCGGAAUUACUGGGCGUAAAGCGUGCGCAGGCGGCGCGCUAAGACAGGUGUGAAAGCCCCGAGCUUAACUUGGGAAUUGCGCUUGUGACUGGCGUGCUGGAGUGUGGCAGAGGGAGGUGGAAUUCCACGUGUAGCAGUGAAAUGCGUAGAGAUGUGGAGGAACACCGAUGGCGAAGGCAGCCCCCUGGGCUAACACUGACGCUCAGGCACGAAAGCGUGGGGAGCAAACAGG